rnacentral:rRNA from 1 species
UACGUAGGGUGCGAGCGUUAAUCGGAAUUACUGGGCGUAAAGCGUGCGCAGGCGGUUGUGCAAGCCAGAUGUGAAAUCCCCGGGCUUAACCUGGGAAUGGCAUUUGGGACUGCAAGGCUGGAGUAUGGCAGAGGGGACUAGAAUUCCUGGUGUAGCAGUGAAAUGCGUAGAUAUCAGGAGGAAUACCGAUGGCGAAGGCAGGUCCCUGGGCCAAUACUGACGCUCAUGCACGAAAGCGUGGGGAGCAAACAGG